GACGAACGCUGGCGGCGCGCUUAACACAUGCAAGUCGAACGGAAAGGCCUGCUUUCCCUUGUGGAUUGCGGGUACUCGAGUGGCGAACGGGUGAGUAACACGUGAGUGAUCUGCCCCCGACUUGGGUAUAAGCCUGGGAAACUGGGUCUAAUUCCCGAUAGGACUGCAGGGUGGUGCCUGUGGUGGAAAACGAUUUUCUAGUGGUUGGGGAUGAGCUCGCGGCCUAUCAGCUUGUUGGUGGGGUAAUGGCCUACCAAGGCGGCGACGGGUAGCCGGCCUGGGAGGGUGGACGGCCACAUUGGGACUGGGAUACGGCCCAGACUCCUACGGGAGGCAGCAGUGGGGAAUAUUGCACAAUGGGCGGAAGCCUGAUGCAGCGACGCCGCGUGGGGGAUGACGGCCUUCGGGUUGUAAACUCCUUUCGACCGCGAGGAAGCCACCUGGUUGGAAGGGUGGUGACGGUAGUGGUAGAAGAAGCACCGGCGAACUACGG
rnacentral:rRNA from 1 species